rnacentral:rRNA from 1 species
AUUAAAGAGUUCUAUAACUCCCAAACCCAUGUGAACAUACCUAACGUUGCCUCGGCAGGUCGCACCUACCUUGUAGCACCCUACCCUGUAGGGCCUACCCGGGAGAUGCGGGUAAGCCUGCCGGCGGCCCACCAAACUCUGUUUGAUAUUGAAUUCUGAACAUAUAACUAAAUAAGUUAAAACUUUCAACAACGGAUCUCUUGGUUCUGGCAUCGAUGAAGAACGCAGCGAAAUGCGAUAAGUAAUGUGAAUUGCAGAAUUCAGUGAAUCAUCGAAUCUUUGAACGCAUAUUGCGCCCAUUAGUAUUCUAGUGGGCAGGACCGUUCGAGCGUCAUUUCGACCCUUAAGCCUUAGUUGCUUAGUGUUGGGAGCCUACGGCAACGUAGCUCCUCAAAGUUAGUGGCGGAGUUGGUUCACACUCUAGACGUAGUAAUUUUUUAUCUCGCCUAUUAGUUGGACUGAUCCCCUGCCGUAAAACCCCCAACUUAUCAAGGUUGACCUCGAAUCGGUUCAGACAAACUCGCUAAAUUGAAGCAUCUUAGUCAGCGAAGGAAAAGAAACCAACAGGGAUUGCCCUAGUAACGGCGAGUGAAGCGGCAACAGCUCAAAUUUGAAAUCUGGCCCUCGGGUCCGAGU